AUUGAACGCUGGCGGCGUGCUUUACACAUGCAAGUCGGACGAGUGGCGAACGGGUGAGUAACGCAUCGGAACGUACCGAGUAAAGGGGGCUGACUGUCCGAAAGGACAGCUACUACCGCAUAGUAUUCUGGCGGCCGAUGUCUGAUUAGCGGGUUGGCGGGGCAAAGGCCCACAAAGGCGACGAGCAGUAGCGGGUCUGAGAGGAUGAUCCGCAACACGGGGACUGAGACACGGCCCAGACUCCGACGGGAGGCAGCAGUGGGGAAUUGUGGGCAAUGGGCGAAAGCCUGAUCCAGCCAUGCCGCGUGUCUGAAGAAGGCCUUCGGGUUGUAAAGGACUUUUGUCAGGGAAGCGGUACCUGAAGAAUAAGCACCGGCUAACUACGUGCCAGCAGCCGCGGUAAUUC
rnacentral:rRNA from 1 species